rnacentral:lncRNA from 1 species
GCAUUUAACAAUAUUUAAUUCCUUCUCAUAUAUAACCGAAGAAUUUAAUUCCUUCGUAUCCGAAAUUAUUACACACUAACAUAUAUACAUGUAUAAUAUAUAAAAUUAUGCCAUAGUUAAAACAAUUGAUAUUCAAAUCAUAACAAAUCAAUAAUCUAUUCUACAUGCAACUAAAAACAAUUUUAACAACUGAAAUUUAUAAUUUAAAAGAUCAAACACACAUUAAACACAUCCACAAAUCAAGAACUACCAUGAACACAAAGAACACAUAUAGAAACUUAAAACAACCCCGAUUUUCGACUAAAUUUGUGGCCGACCACAACAAAUCUGGCCAAGAUAAAACAAGUUAGAAAAAUAUGACCACUAAACUCAAACAAAAUUCACAACAUAAUCUGAACAAAUUUCAACGAAGUUACAAAUGAAUCCGAUCACCUAAAAAAACCGGAUACUAC